ensembl:lncRNA
UUUUACACCUAACAAUCACUGCUAACUUACAGUAUUUUUUUGUGAGAAGACUAAUAAAAAGCACAGCAAAUUUAUAACACACAUACACACACACUCUGUGAGAAGACUAAUAUAAAGUACAGUAUAGUUAUAACACACGUAUAAACACACAGGCAGUUAGAGGGGAGAACGGCUGUUCAGUUAUACAUUUCAAUCCAAAUCCUCAAAAUAUGUUCUGCCCAAAGUUUGGGAACUUUUAAUAAUUAGUCAAUCAGAUAACAAAUAGGGGGAAGGCAGCUACUUGUGCUGUAGUUGCAACAAUCAAUUCAAGAAGUGAGAAAAACUCAAUUAGCCAACUAGAUUGUGUUCAAUACAUAAUAACUUACCUGAUUUUUCUCCCUGCUGGAAAUGAUAGAGUUAUGGAAACUGCCUCAAAAACUCCGAUUUUAAUUCUCUGGGUUUUUAGACUUUUCUUUGAGAAAUGAGAUAACUGUAUUUGAGUUUGAGUAAUCACUUUUGUAAUGAAUGUCUCUGUUAGUAAAGGGAAAAGAAAUUUUGAUUCAUUGAUUUGUAUAAUUUUGGAGAAGUAAUCUUUUUUCCUUAUACACCUUAAUUAUGAAGACAAAUGAAUAUUUUGUUCAAAUUCAUUGAAUGAUUAAUUACCCUAAUCUUCACCUUAAUUUUCCUAUUAGUGAUUUUUCUUGUUAAUACUCUUAGCAGGAUAAGAUCAUCUUAUAGAAUUAUUGUAGUUGCUGUUCUGGGGAAAAAAGUCUUCCAUAUUCCUUCUGUCUGUAGGAGAUCUCAGGAAAAUCUUCGACAUCAGACUGAGGCCCUGUAUUGCUACAGGUAACACUGUUUCACUCUCAUGAAAAGCAGAUGAAGUGAAGAGAUUCUGACUCUUGUCUGUUUUUAAGUAAGGUGUGGUAGGCAGCCUCCAAGAUGGCUCCGGAUGGUCCCCUUCUUGGUACUCACAUGCUGGUGUAAUCUCCUCCCCUCCAGUUGAGUUUACUGACGAGCCUCAACAAAUAGAAUAUGACCAAUAGAUGGAAUGCCACUCCUGAGAUUAGGUUCCGAAAGAUUGUAGUUGGAAUCUGGAAUUUUAAACAUUUUCCAUUCAAUAUCCCAAAGAACAAGUAAUUUCCAUUAAUUGAAGGCCAUAAAUUUCCAGAUUAAUAGGGCCCACUUCCUAUCUAGCAGAAAGAGGAAAAAAGACCAUACCAAAGCGUAUCAUCAAGAAAAUGCAGAACACUAGCACUAAAGAGAGGAUUCUAAGAGCUUCCUGACAUGAAAAAGCAGCAGGUCACGUAUGCUCAGGAAUUAUAAAGGCAUCAAGCUUCUGAGUGGCAAUACUGGCAGGUAGAAGACAAUAGAGAAAUGCUUCAUAGUCCUGAGGAAAUGAAUUCUAACUGGAAUUAUGUUCUCAACUCAACUAUAAAUCAAGUCUGAGGGUGGAAUAACAAUAUUCUCAGAUGUGCAAGAUGUCAACAUAUUCAUUGCCCACGGCCUCUCGCUCAGUGCAUAGGCGCAGAUAAGAGAAUCAAUGAAAAAGCCUGAGAUCCAGGAAACAGAGGGUUCCCAGGAGGAGAGAGAGACGACAAAGAAAAGAAGGCCCAUUAUGCCUGCUAUGCAGCUGGCCAAGGGGAACCCAGUCCACACUGGAGCCAGUGACAGGCUUCAUAGAGAAGUCCCCAAGGAAAACAGUAGAUCAGUGUCCCAGAUGCAGAAUGCAUGUGUCUUUCUGGAAGCACACUCAGAGGCCAUCUCAAACAUGCAGAAGGAUUUAGAAACAUUCAGAACCAUCAUCUCAGACUUCAAAUUUGGAAUUUGAUAAACCUCCCCAUGAUGGCCAUUUAUGAUAUUUCUCGUCAAAAUUCCUUCUUCUGGGAAAUGCGUACCCAUCUCUUAGCCUGCAUCCUAGUCCAUGUGUUUGUAGAUAGAUUUUUCAUAAUUUAGUGUAAACCUAACACCAACUCUCCAUCAAACAUCAGUCACAAGGGUUGAGUUCAGAUUUGAGUAGAUGCUUUGCUCUCUUAGUAGGCACCGGUAAAUCUUUGUAGAAAUGCUUGUACUAUUCUGGGUGUUAAACAUUUUGAAUAUAUUGCGAGGUAAUCUUGCAGCUCUGUGAACACACUAUCAGCUACCUACAAACCAUCACAUAUUCAUUUAGUCCAUAUGGGUAAAUCUUAUGUUUCUAAAAAAUUAAGAAUCUUAUCAGUCUAAUUUUAGAGAACUUUUAGAACACACAGUUUUGAGGAAAAUGAUGAGGGAUUCGUGUGUUGAUCAUCUUCACAUCAUCUUCCCUCAACACUUAAUAAAACAUAGGCUAAUGCA